UAGGGAAUCUUCGGCAAUGGACGAAAGUCUGACCGAGCAACGCCGCGUGAGUGAAGAAGGUUUUCGGAUCGUAAAACUCUGUUGUUAGAGAAGAACAAGGACGUUAGUAACUGAACGUCCCCUGACGGUAUCUAACCAGAAAGCCACGGCUAACUACGUGCCAGCAGCCGCGGUAAUACGUAGGUGGCAAGCGUUGUCCGGAUUUAUUGGGCGUAAAGCGAGCGCAGGCGGUUUCUUAAGUCUGAUGUGAAAGCCCCCGGCUCAACCGGGGAGGGUCAUUGGAAACUUGGAGACUUGAGUGCAGAAGAGGAGAGUGGAAUUCCAUGUGCAGCGGUGAAAUGCGUAGAUAUAUGGAGGAACACCAGUGGCGAAGGCGGCUCUCUGGUCUGUAACUGACGCUGAGGCUCGAAAGCGUGGGGAGCAAACAGG
rnacentral:rRNA from 1 species